CAGUCGCCACGGUAAUACGUAGGGUGCGAGCGUUAAUCGGAAUUACUGGGCGUAAAGCGUGCGCAGGCGGUUGUGCAAGACAGAUGUGAAAUCCCCGAGCUUAACUUGGGAACUGCAUUUGUGACUGCACGGCUAGAGUGUGUCAGAGGGGGGUAGAAUUCCGCGUGUAGCAGUGAAAUGCGUAGAUAUGUGGAGGAAUACCGAUGGCGAAGGCAGCCCCCUGGGAUAACACUGACGCUCAUGCACGAAAGCGUGGGGAGCAAGCAGGAUUAGAUACCCCAGUAGUCCCUGUCUCUUAUAC
rnacentral:rRNA from 1 species